AUUGAACGCUGGCGGCAGGCCUAACACAUGCAAGUCGAACGAGUGGCGGACGGGUGAGUAAUGUCUGGGAAACUGCCUGAUGGAGGGGGAUAACUACUGGACACGGUAGAUAAUACCGCAUACCAUCGGAUGUGCCCAGAGGGGAUUAGCUAGUAGUUGGGGAAACGGCUCACCUAGGCGACGAUCCCUCGCUGGUCUGAGAGGAUGAACAGCCACACUGGAACGGAGACACGGUCCAGACUCCUACGGGAGGCAGCAGUGGGGAAUAUUGCACAAUGGGCGCAAGCCUGAUGCAGCCAUGCCGCGUGUAUGAAGAAGGCCUUCGGGUUGUAAAGUACUUUCAGCGGGGAGGCGUUACCGACAGAAGAAGCACCGGCUAACUCCGUGCCAGCAGCCGCGGUAAUAC
rnacentral:rRNA from 1 species